rnacentral:lncRNA from 1 species
AUUAGCUAAUCUCUCGAGCAAAUCGCCAUCUGAUCUCCAUAGAUGUCUGCAAUUACAAUUUUUGUGUAAAAACUCUUCACCUGUCUCAUCUUGUGUUUGGUUUUGGGAUAAGGAAAAUGGGGAUAGUAAAAAUUAUGCUUGUUGGCAUAAUUAUUCUGCAGGUUUUGUUUUGUUUUUUGUUUUUUUUUUCCUUGCUACAUAUUCUUAUACCUAUUAGCCUGGUAAAAGUUAUGCUUCUUGUGAUGUUUCGUUGUAAUUUCUAGGAUAAGGUUAUUUUCACAUAAAAUGGAUAAAUAACAUGUUUACCCUCUCAUUAAUCGCUGGCCUAUUUAUUUUUGUAGGCAUUUUUGUUCAAAGAAAUGAUGAUCUCCUUACUAUAUAAAAAUAAAAUGAGUGAUUUGUUCCUCAAAUGGGAUGGAUAACUUUGUUAUAAGGAAAAGUACCACUGCUUAUAGUCCAACUA